rnacentral:rRNA from 1 species
GACGGGGGAUGCAAGCGUUAUCCGGAAUCACUGGGCGUAAAGCGUCUGUAGGUGGUGAUGCAAGUCACUGGUGCAAAACUCUGGCUCAACCGGAGGAAAGCCAGUGAAACUGCAUGACUAGAGUGUGGGAGAGGUAGAAGGAAUUCCCUGAGUAGCGGUGAAAUGCGUAGAUACAGGGAAGAACACCGGAGGCGAAAGCGUUCUACUGGAACACAACUGACACUGCGCGACGAAAGCUAGGGGAGCGCAUGGG